rnacentral:tRNA from 1 species
GCCUGGGUGGCGGAAUUGGUAGACGCAAGGGACUUAAAAUCCCUCGAGACAUAGUCUCGUACGAGUUCAAUUCUCGUCCUAGGCACCA